AAUGAACGCUGGCGGCGUGCUUAACACAUGCAAGUCGUGCGCGAAGGUGGCUUCGGCUACCGGAGAGCGGCGAACGGGUGAGUAACACGUGGGUGAUCUGCCUGGGAGCGGGGGAUAACCUGGGGAAACUCGGGCUAAUACCGCAUACGUUGGUGAGGUUACGGCCUUAUCAAGAAAGCUGGCCUCUGUUUACAAGCUAGCACUCCCAGAGGAGCCCGCGGCUGAUUAGCAGUUGGUAGGGUAAUGGCCUACCAAGGCUUCGAUCAGUAGCCGGCCUGAGAGGGUGAUCGGCCACACUGGGACUGAGACACGGCCCAGACUCCUACGGGAGGCAGCAGUGGGGAAUAUUGGACAAUGGGCGCAAGCCUGAUCCAGCAACGCCGCGUGGAGGACGAAGGUCUUCGGAUCGUAAACUCCUGUCAGGCGGGACGAAGGCUGCGGGGCAAAUAGUCCUGUAGCUUGACGGUACUGCCAGAGGAAG
rnacentral:rRNA from 1 species